ACGUUGCGACGUUUGAUACACACAAAGCAUUCUUCUGGUGUCAGUGAGUUAUAUGAUCUCAUGGUCACAGGAAUAAAUACUUGACACGCAGAAAACAGUAGCAAAAAAAUGACACGAUCAACAUGCUACGUCUAUUAGUUUGGGUCUAGUCCAUCACGUGAUUCUCCUAAUGACGUGAUCCAGUUAUCAAGCAACAACACCUUGUUCAUAAUCAGAAGACACUGACUA
rnacentral:lncRNA from 1 species